rnacentral:tRNA from 1 species
GCGGAAAUAGCUCAGUUGGUAGAGCAUUGGCUUCCCAAGCCAAGGGUCACGGGUUCGAGUCCCGCUUUCCGCUCCA